UAACAGAGGGAAGCAAGAUAGUGAUAUGGAGCAAAACCCUAAAAAGCGGUCUCAGUUCGGAUUGAAGGCUGAAAUUCGCCUUCAUGAAGCUGGAAUUGCUAGUAAUGGCAGGUCAGCAUACUGCCGUGAAUACGUUCCCGGGCCUUGUACACACCGCCCGUCACACCAUGAGAGUUGGAAAUACCCGAAGCCGGUGACCCAACCAAAAGGAGGGAGCCGUCGAAGGCAGGUCUGAUAACUGGGGUGAAGUCGUAACAAGGUAUC
rnacentral:rRNA from 1 species